AGUGAACGCUGGCGGUAGGCCUAACACAUGCAAGUCGAACGGCAGCACAGGAGAGCUUGCUCUCUGGGUGGCGAGUGGCGGACGGGUGAGGAAUACAUCGGAAUCUACCUUUUUCGUGGGGGAUAACGUAGGGAAACUUACGCUAAUACCGCAUACGACCUACGGGUGAAAGUGGGGACCGCAGGGCCUCACGCGAUUAGAUGAGCCGAUGUCCGAUUAGUUAGUUGGCGGGGUAAUGGCCCACCAAGGCGACGAUCGGUAGCUGGUCUGAGAGGAUGAUCAGCCACACUAGAACUGAGACACGGUCCAGACUCCUACGGGAGGCAGCAGUGGGGAAUAUUGGACAUGGGCGCAAGCCUGAUCCAGCCAUACCGCGUGGGUGAAGAAGGCCUCGGUUGUAAGCCUUUGUGGAAAUGAAGUCCUAUCGGUUAAUAACCGGUGGGCAUGACGGUACCCAAAGGAAUAAGCACCGGCUAACUUCGUGCCAGCAGCCGCGGUAAUACGAAGGGUGCAAGCGUUACUCGGAAUUACUGGGCGUAAAGCGUGCGUAGGUGGUGGUUUAAGUCUGCUGUGAAAG
rnacentral:rRNA from 1 species